UUCUGAGCACUCUUGAUUUUUAGCUGCAGAGAAAAUGGCUUGGAAAUGUGAUGUACUACUUUGGCACCCUCAAAUUUCGCCUUUGUAAUGAGAAUCAUGAAUUAUCUGUUGAGGAACUCGAAAACAUCCUAAAAUUGCCCAUCUACAUGCCUGGAGAUGCUCCAGAUAACUUUUCAGUGAAACAUUUCUUGUUUGAAAUUACAGGUAGUCCAAGGUACGGUUCCAUAACCAUCAAGGCAUCGGUGAUUCAAAACCCUGCUU
rnacentral:lncRNA from 1 species